CUACGUCCGGGGAGAGACGAGAGGAAACCUAAUCGAGGGAGUGUUUGUCAGGGCGGUGUGACUCUGCGCGACUUCCGAUAUUGUUGAGAAGCCGGAUGUGCAGACGUUCUACAUUGACGACACUCAUUCCAAAGAAUUUUCCCUCGUGUGCCGUGAAGAUGGAUGCCUACACAGUUAGGAUUCACGUGCCGCUGCCGGGGGAUUCAAAACACGUGCUCAACAGCGUUCUUUACAAAAAAGUUCGGUUUGGGCGGUAAAGUAAAGUCUGAAGGCAUCUGUAGGCGUGCAGAUUCUUUCUUACAUUGUCGACCGUUUUCGGAUGCAGUAAGGAACGACAACUCCAGCCACUCAGAAGUGGAGGAGGGUCGUGGAAGACGGUCUUUUGAAUUUUUGUUGUCUAAUCCGAGAAACUGUCUUCCUCAGAUGCACGCUGUUGGGGUUCCUCGAGCGAUGUUGAGCACUUGCUAUCCAGGAGGCUCUGCGCCGGUUUCUUCGCGACAGCAGGAAUUUUGGGAGCCGGGCCCUCACAGAACGCUUUAAACAGACAGUUUACUCGAGUUAGGGAUUGGCGAGGUGUGUGCCUUCACGGUCCUGAAUGCGGCAGUGGCUGUAGACGUACUUUCCUCUGCUUUCUUGGCAGUCGUGUGGUAUGCCGGGUGUCGAAGUCAUGCCUACCUCUGUAGGGCCGCUCCACAGAAGUCGAGAGAUUUGUCUAGCUCUGUUCACGAAAAGAUUUGCUCCGGACCGGCUCACGCAGUCGUCGCGUGCUCUAUUAACGUGCUGGUGAUGUGUUUACAUGGGAUCUCGUGCAAGCGGUGAGAACUCCAGCUGUACGCUACAGCAAGUUUCCCUUCCUACUAGAAAGACGGUAUUUCUCUGGGUCAAGAACCGACGCUGCUGAUAGUAACAAACAGAUGAGUCGCGUUCGAUCUCGAGGAUCUGUAAGAAAUACCAACACCGAGAAUGGCUUCGAAUUUCGUAGCUCGUCAGCCUCACCGCAAAUUACGACGUACUGCUACAGAACUGG
rnacentral:lncRNA from 1 species